rnacentral:sRNA from 1 species
GGCCCCUUUGGGGCUAUUCAGUAUCUCUGCAGUUGAAAAUAGAGCCACCUCCAUAGACAUCGAAGAAGCCAAUAGAACUGUGUAUUUAAAUGUAUCUCGAACUAAUGGCAUUGAUUUGGCUGUGAGUGUGCAGUGGGAGACAGUAUCUGAAACAGCCUUUGGCAUGAGGGGAAUGGAUGUUGUGUUUUCCAUAUUUCAAAGUUUUUUGGAUGAAUCAGCUUCUGGCUGGUGUUUCUUUACUUUGGAAAAUUUAAUAUAUGGUAUAAUGUUAAGAAAAUCAUCUGUUACUGUUUACCGAUGGCAGGGGAUUUUUAUUCCAGUUGAGGAUUUAAAUAUAGAAAAUCCUAAAACUUGUGAGGCCUUUAAUAUUGGUUUUUCUCCCUACUUUGUGAUUACUCAUGAAGAAAGAAAUGAAAAGCCUUCUCUUAACAGUGUGUUUACAUUCACAUCUGGAUUUAAAUUAUUCCUGGUACAAACAAUCAUUAUUCUGGAAAGUUCUCAAGUAAGAUAUUUUACUUCAGACAGCCAAGAUUAUUUAAUCAUUGCAAGUCAAAGAGAUGAUUCUGAAUUAACUCAGGUCUUCAGGUGGAAUGGAAGAAGCUUCGUGUUGCAUCAAAAACUCCCUGUCCGAGGUGUGCUGACCAUGGCCUUGUUCAACAAGGGAGGCUCUGUGUUCUUAGCCAUUUCCCAGGCUAAUGCUAGGCUGAACUCCCUUUUAUUCAGAUGGUCUGGCAGCGGGUUUAUUAACUUUCAAGAGGUGCCUGUCAGUGGGACAACAGAAGUUGAGGCUUUGUCCUCAGCCAAUGAUAUUUACUUGAUAUUUGCCAAAAAUGUCUUUCGAGGAGAUCAGAAUUCAAUUGAUAUUUUCAUCUGGGAGAUGGGACAGUCUUCCUUCAGGUAUUUGCAGUCCCUAGAUUUUGUUGCUGUUAACAGAAUCCACUCCUUCACACCAGCCUCAGGAAUAGCCCACAUACUUCUUAUUGGCCAAGAUAUGUCUGCUCUUUACUGCUGGAAUUCGGAGCUUAAUCAGUUCUCUUUUGUUCUGGAAGUAUCUUCUGCUUAUGAUGUAGCUUCUGUUACAGUAAAGUCCCUUAAUUCAAGCAAGAAUUUAAUAGCUCUAGUGGGAGCUCAUUCACAUAUAUAUGAGCUAGCCUACAUUUCCAGCCAUUCUGACUUUAUUCCUAGUUCAGGUGAACUGAUAUUUGAACCUGGUGACAGAGAAGCUACAAUAGCAGUAAAUAUCCUUGAUGAUACAGUUCCAGAAAAAGAAGAAUCCUUCAAAGUUCAACUUAAAAAUCCCAAAGGAGGAGCAGAGAUUGGCAUUAAUGAUUCUGUAACAAUAACCAUUCUGUCUAAUGAUGAUGCCUAUGGAAUUGUCGCAUUUGCUCAGAAUUCAUUAUAUAAGCAAGUGGAAGAAAUGGAGCAAGAUAGCCUAGUAACCUUGAACGUUGAACGCUUAAAAGGAACAUAUGGCCGUAUAACCAUAGCAUGGGAAGCUGAUGGAAGUAUUAGUGAUAUAUUUCCUACCUCAGGAGUGAUUUCGUUUACUGAAGGCCAGGUACUGUCAACAAUCACUCUGACUAUUCUUGCUGAUAAUAUACCAGAGUUAUCAGAGGUUGUGAUUGUAACCCUCACCCAUAUCACCACAGAAGGGGUUGAGGACUCAUACAAAGGUGCUACUAUUGAUCAGGACAGAAGCAAGUCUGUUAUAACAACUUUGCCCAAUGACUCACCUUUUGGCUUGGUGGGCUGGCAUGCUGCGUCUGUCUUCAUUAGAGUAGCAGAGCCUAAAGAAAACACCACCACUCUUCAGUUACAAAUAGCUCGAGAUAAAGGACUACUUGGGGAUAUUGCCAUUCACUUGAGAGCUCAACCCAAUUUCUUACUGCAUGUCGAUAAUCAAGCUACUGAGAAUGAAGAUUAUGUAUUGCAAGAAACAAUAAUAAUAAUGAAAGAAAACAUAAAAGAAGCUCAUGCCAAAGUUUCCAUUUUGCCGGAUGACCUUCCUGAAUUGGAGGAAGGAUUUAUUGUCACUGUCACUGAGGUGAACCUGGUGAACUCUGACUUCUCUGCAGGACAGCCAAGUGUGCGGAGGCCUGGAAUGGAAAUAGCUGAGAUAAUGAUAGAAGAAAAUGACGAUCCCAGAGGAAUUUUUAUGUUUCAUGUUACUAGAGGCGCUGGGGAAGUUAUUACUGCCUAUGAGGUGCCUCCACCCUCGAACGUUCUUCAAGUUCCUGUAGUCCGGCUGGCUGGAAGCUUUGGGGCAGUAAAUGUUUAUUGGAAAGCGUCACCAGACGGUGCUGGCUUGGAAGACUUUAAACCAUCUCAUGGGAUUCUUGAAUUUGCAGAUAAACAGGUUACUGCAAUGAUAGAAAUCACCGUAAUUGAUGAUACUGAAUUUGAAUUGACAGAGACGUUCAAUAUUUCCUUGAUCAGUGUUGCUGGAGGUGGCAGACUUGGUGAUGAUGUUGUGGUAACUGUUGUUAUUCCACAAAAUGAUUCUCCAUUUGGAGUAUUUGGAUUUGAAGAAAAGACUGUAAUGAUUGAUGAAUCCCUUUCAUCCGAUGACCCUGAUUCAUAUGUGACAUUGACGGUUGUCCGGUCCCCAGGAGGAAAAGGAACCGUCCGACUUCAGUGGACCAUAGAUGAGAAGGCUAAACAUAACCUUAGUCCUUUAAAUGGGACCCUUCAUUUUGAUGAGACUGAGUCCCAGAAGACCAUUGUGUUGCACACACUUCAAGACACAGUGUUGGAGGAGGACAGGCGUUUCACCAUUCAGCUGAUAUCAGUUGAUGAGGUAGAAAUAUCUCCAGUAAAAGGUAGUGCAUCAAUAAUUAUUCGGGGUGAUAAGCGAGCAUCAGGAGAAGUUGGGAUAGCUCCGUCAUCUAGGCAUAUCCUCAUUGGGGAACCCUCAGCAAAAUAUAAUGGUACCGCUAUUAUCAGCCUUGUUCGUGGCCCAGGGAUUUUGGGGGAGGUCACAGUGUUCUGGAGGAUAUUCCCUCCUUCCGUGGGGGAAUUUGCUGAAACAUCAGGAAAACUGACAAUGCGAGAUGAACAGUCUGCAGUCAUUGUAGUAAUACAGGCUUUGAACGAUGACAUUCCUGAGGAAAAAAGCUUCUAUGAGUUUCAGCUCACUGCAAUCAGUGAGGGAGGUGUUCUGAGUGAAUCUAGCAGCACUGCCAACAUCACGAUGGUGGCCAGCGACUCUCCCUAUGGCCGAUUUGCCUUUUCACAUGAGCAACUUCGAGUGUCAGAAGCACAGAGGGUUAACAUCACGAUCAUCCGUUCUGGUGGAGAUUUUGGCCACGUGCGACUCUGGUACGAGACGACGAGCGGGACAGCGGAAGCGGGCUUGGAUUUUGUUCCUGCAGCGGGGGAACUCCUCUUUGAAGCAGGGGAGAUGAGGAAAAGUCUGCAUGUUGAAAUCCUUGAUGAUGACUAUCCUGAAGGCCCAGAGGAAUUUUCUCUAACAAUUACAAAGGUGGAACUCCAGGGAAGGUAAAGGAGAAAGGCAAUUAGGAAAAAGAAAGCAAAGAGCAGAGAAAGAGAGAAAGUUCUAUUGUGUAGAUAUUAAUACUGAGCUCUAAAGCAGUUCUUUCCCUACUCUUUCUCAGAUUUGUGUGACAUUAGAACAGGACAUAGAAGGGAAAUUAUGACAAUGACUGGGUUUUUUUUUUAAAUUUUCUUAAAUAUAACUUCCCUCUGAAAAUUGAAAGUAUGUGUUUCUAUUGUGUGGACUCACUCUGGGUAGCCAGGAAGUUGAAUAUGAUAAGGGCUUCUAAUUGGUGAAGAAACAGCCUAACAGCUCUCUAAAUCACAGGUCAGCUGGUGUGGCUGAAUUUGCUUCUUUUGAUUUCCAUACUUGUGAAAGGGCUGAAGGGAGGGAUUUCUUUCAUUGGUGCAUCUGAAGUCUGUAUUGUCUUCUCUGUGGGUGAAUAACAUAGAUGCUUGCCCCAUAGUUUUAAAGUGGGGAAAAAUUUGAGUGAAAGCUAGUUGGCCAUGAAUGUGCACCAUGUUUUCAAGGAAGAUAAUGAAUUAACCAUAAUGAGUCUCUUUCAUUCCCUGAUUUAGUGGGGCAGAUUUGAUGAGGUGGAAAAACAUCUUUAGCAUGUUUAAGUACUCACAGGUUCUGCAGCUCACAGGUUGAGAGAGACCUACCAGCACCUCUGCCCAGAUAGCAGAUAGGUGGGCCCUUCAACUAGAAUAAUGCCUGCAUUUAUAAGAAUCAUAAAGACAUUUUUCUUGUGCAUGAAAAUAUUUUUGCAUUUGUAAUGUGAAUAUCAUGCUUUAAAAACUUUUUAAAAUUAAAAUAUGUCACUCAGUGACUUAAGUGUAUAUCAUCCCAUCUGGGAAAAAAAAUAUAUUGUGGGCUUACAUACCCUUCAAAUUUUAGAUUUCCCAAAAAUGCUUCUGUGCCUGGCAAUGAGAGUGAACUUGUACUCCUAGUAAAUAUAGUAAAAAGUUUGAGCUGAUCACUGACUAUUUUAAUUAAAUUAAUGCAAUU